GAUGAACGCUAGCUACAGGCUUAACACAUGCAAGUCGCGGGGCAGCAUGGGGGUUGCUUGCAACCCCUGAUGGCGACCGGCGCACGGGUGAGUAACGCGUAUCCAACCUGCCCUUCACCACGGGAUAACCCGGCGAAAGUCGGACUAAUACCGUAUGUUGUCCAUUGACGGCAUCCGAUUUGGACGAAAGGCUUGGCGGUGAGGGAUGGGGAUGCGUCCGAUUAGCUCGACGGCGGGGUAACGGCCCACCGUGGCAACGAUCGGUAGGGGUUCUGAGAGGAAGGUCCCCCACACUGGAACUGAGACACGGUCCAGACUCCUACGGGAGGCAGCAGUGAGGAAUAUUGGUCAAUGGGCGGAAGCCUGAACCAGCCAAGUAGCGUGCAGGAUGGCGGCCCUAUGGGUUGUAAACUGCUUUUAUGCGGGGAUAAAGGAGCCCACGUG
rnacentral:rRNA from 1 species